CCAGCAACAACCCCUUGACCUGGGUUGGAGCUACGCCCCUUUCUUUCCUGAGUGCUGGGGGUAGAGGGACUAGACCAAUCGACACACUGCAUUCCAUUGGGGGAUGUGACCUUGGCUGGUCCAGUCAGAGUGACUCCUGGAAUUCUGCCGGAACUGCUAGAAGAGAAAGUCUGAUUUUCUCAUUAUACUCGAACCUGAGAGAAUAUGCCACAGCCAUUUUACUACCAUGGAUGGAGAAUCUGACUAAGAUUGGAGGCGGCAAAGAAAGAAUUAGAGGGAAAAUAACAGGGUCCCAGGGACACCUGCUUGAAUCCUGGGUCAACCCAGAUCUAAAACCUGCCCUACUCUAGGCUCCUGAGGAUGGCAACCCUCGUAUUCUCAUCUUACUAAGGCCAGUCUGGGCUUUCUGUCACUUGCAAAUGCAAAUUAACAGAUGAACCAUCAUUCCAUCCUAAGAACACCCACCGUUCUUAUACCCUAACGGGAGCCAAAAUAUGCAAAGCAUCACCCUGAUUUUGCCCCUUCGGCACAAUCUAAACAUGACCUGGCCCAUGUGGCACAGAGGAAGCGGAGCCUGGCUAGCAAGGGUCCACCAGCACUGUAUCGACGAUGCCAUCUCAGAGAAAGGCCAGGAAAUCAUCGGAGCCCUGACCAGAGGAUGGAGGGGGACACCUGCUCUUCCGUAGGGGUUCAGGUCAGCCAAAGCACAAGCACCUGCAGGCUGCAAGCCGCCAAGGCCAUCACGCGCGCCACAUCCUGCAGCCACCCGCUUUAUCAUUAACUACUGUCUGGCCAACAAGGGCAGGGUUCGGUUCAAGAACACCGGGAACUUUAAGGCAGGAGGCAGAUCCAGAACCAUGGUGGGCUCACAGCCACUCACUACAACUAUAAAUAUCCUCCUGGCUGCCGGCCUGACAGCAACCACAAUUCCUGCUCCCUUGUUGGUAAUAGCACUGCAGGCCUUCUCCACCUCCAUCCCCCCCCACCCCCCGCCAGAAAUUCAGCACAACCAGCAGCAGCAAAAAUUAUGAAAUGUGUGCAUGAGCUUACUCAAUCCCCAGGCAAGCCUUGUUUCCCCACCCUCCUCUCAUCUGUACCUGACUCCUGGGCCCCAAAGAUUAAAAUGAGACUUUAAAGUUGAAACUCAUAUGAUUAAGAUCUCAGUUUGGCGCUUAGAAAAUACUGUGG